UACAGAGGGGGCAAGCGUUGUUCGGAAUUACUGGGCGUAAAGGGUGCGUAGGUGGCGAGGUUAGUCAGGUGUGAAAUCUCGGGGCUCAACCCCGAAACUGCACUUGAUACUGCCUUGCUAGAGUACUGGAGAGGAGAUUGGAAUUUACGGUGUAGCAGUGAAAUGCGUAGAUAUCGUAAGGAAGACCAGUGGCGAAGGCGAAUCUCUGGACAGUUACUGACACUGAGGCACGAAGGCCAGGGGAGCAAACGGG
rnacentral:rRNA from 1 species